CUAAUUUUCCCUAUAAAAGACCCUCUUUCCAAUCAUUAGGGCACAGAAAAAAGGAGUGAAAAAAUACAAACGGCUUAAAUCAGUUCUUUUUUCCAAAAAAUUCUGAAGAAAAUUUUUCUACUUCUGGCCGUUUUUGGAGUCAUUUGCUGGGGUUUCCUAAAGCUGAAACAAAACUUUGUUUCUUGAAUUCACUGCUGUUCGAUUUGAGCUGAGCUGCUGCAGACUUCUUCUUUCUUUGAGUUGUUUGUCCCAUUUUCUUUUAUAGGAUAGAAAGUGCUUGUUGGCUAAUAACUUGGUUAAAGUCUUGCGGAUCUGACUGUUGCAAGCCAUAAAUCAAGGUUAGAUUUUAAAGGUUGUUAAAAGAAAAAGGGUCUAGAUGCUGAUGGUUCAGCUAUGUUUUUUUUUUAUUUCAGAAUCUAAUUUUUGUCACUGAAUCACUCUCUUUAAUUAUAAGAGAUCUCUAUGUCAUAUUUAGCUCUUUUCUUCGCAAAUCUUAGACUAGCUUUUUGUUGUCAUUGAUUAGAUGCUAAAGGUAUGGUGUCCAGGUUAAUAAAUAACUAUUGGAACCAAUUGAAGUCCAUUUGGUACAAGUUCAAAUCCAAAGGUUGGCAUCUUGAUUUGGAAAUUGAAUAGAUGGCAGUGUUAUUCACAUCAUCAGUUAGUUUUAAUUUAUUAGGGCCUUGUAAAUUUAUAAUUCCUCUUUGAUUCAUGCUUCAUUAAGUACAGUAUUGUAUAAUUUAGUUCAAAUUGGGAUGUAAUUUAUGUAUUAUGGAAGUCAGGUAAUUUGAAGUUUUCGGAACUGUUUCCUUUGAAGCAAAAUUUGAUAAUUUUCCAUUGUUUAA